rnacentral:tRNA from 1 species
GCCGGGGUGGCCGAGUGGCUAAGGCGGCACUAUCCCAUCGAUAGCGCUAAGGGCCGCAGUGCAUGGGUCGUAGAGACCCGUUAUUCCACGGGUUCAAAUCCCGUCCCCGGCU